rnacentral:rRNA from 1 species
CAGUCGCCACGGGAAUACAGAGGGUGCGAGCGUUAAUCGGAUUUACUGGGCGUAAAGCGUGCGUAGGCGGCUAAUUGAGUCGGAUGUGAAAUCCCCGAGCUUAACUUGGGAAUUGCAUUCGAUACUGGUUAGCUAGAGUGUGGGAGAGGAUGGUAGAAUUCCAGGUGUAGCGGUGAAAUGCGUAGAGAUCUGGAGGAAUACCGAUGGCGAAGGCAGCCAUCUGGCCUAACACUGACGCUGAGGUACGAAAGCAUAGGGAGCAAACAGGAUUAGAUACCCCUGUAGUCCCUGUCUCUUAUAC